AGUGAACGCUGGCGGUAGGCCUAACACAUGCAGGUCGAACGGCAGCACAGGAGAGCUUGCUCUCUGGGUGGCGAGUGGCGGACGGGUGAGGAAUACAUCGGAAUCUACUUUUUCGUGGGGAUAACGUAGGGAAACUUACGCUAAUACCGCAUACGACCUACGGGUGAAAGCAGGGGACCUUCGGGCCUUGCGCGAUUGAAUGAGCCGAUGUCGGAUUAGCUAGUUGGCGGGGUAAAGGCCCACCAAGGCGACGAUCCGUAGCUGGUCUGAGAGGAUGAUCAGCCACACUGGUACUGAGACACGGUCCAGACUCCUACGGGAGGCAGCAGUGGGGAAUAUUGGACAAUGGGCGCAAGCCUGAUCCAGCCAUACCGCGUGGGUGAAGAAGGCCUUCGGGUUGUAAAGCCCUUUUGUUGGGAAAGAAAUCCAGCUGGCUAAUACCCGGUUGGGAUGACGGUACCCAAAGAAUAAGCACCGGCUAACUUCGUGCCAGCCGCCGCGGUAA
rnacentral:rRNA from 1 species